rnacentral:rRNA from 1 species
GAUGAACGCUGGCGGCGUGCCUAAUACAUGCAAGUCGAGCGAAGCGGGGACGGGUGAGGCACACGUGUAUGACCUCAUAUAAGAAUGAGAUACGUUAAGGAAACCGGAGCUCGACACGUUACUUAUAGGUGGUACCGCGCUGCAUGAGCUAGUUGGUAAGGUAACGGCUUACCAAGGCAACGAUGAGUAGCCGACCUGAGAGGGUGAUCGGCCACACUGGAACUGAGACACGGUCCAGACGCCUACGGGAGGCAGCAGUGGGGAAUCUUGCGCAAUGGGCGAAAGCCUGACGGAGCAAUGCCGCGUGGGUGAUGAAGGUCUUCGGAUCGUAAAACUCUUUUAUGAGGGAAGCGUUACCUAAUCAGUAAGCAUCGGCUAACUACGUGCCAGCAGCCGCGGUAAUUC